UCCUCACCUGCUUUAUCUCCUGGAGAGAUCCUCCACCACGCAACCAUCAGCCCCACCUGCUCCCUCCUCUCUUCUUCUGCAAGGCAACGAGAAGGAGAGGGCCUUUUCCUCCCCACAGAACCACCGCGCCCGUUGCAGUAUCUUCGACCUUGUCGUCGAUUCCGGCCGCCCCUCGUCGUCCUGAGAGCACCACCAGAACCCCCUCGUCCCCCUCCAUCUCUGGGUGCAAGAAAUCGAGCCAGGGAGCCCGUAUAUCGACGUCCACGUCGCCGUUCCUCAACUCUGGCCGCGCCAUGUCGACGAUGAUGGCGUCACCGUCCGGCCUCCUCCGGACUCCCCGACCCAUUCUACAACAUCUUGGUGCUCGCCGUCGGCGUCGCUCCGGUGCGUCCCCGGCUUCAACUCCGCCAGAUACUGCAUCCCCGUGAAGUUCCGCGUCUAACGCACUCGCUCCCGACGCCCCUCGAGCUCUCCUUCGUCAGAUCGGUGCUCAACCAGAGCUCCUUUCCGCCAUGGCCUUCAUCCUCGAGGUCCGUGCGUACCUGCUUCACCUUGCCGCGCGACCACCUCUUGACACGAUCAGAUCAACAGCCCAGUGAUCUAGUUCCUACUGGGCCUUGGCCCGUUUCUCUCUGGCACUGAUGCGUGCCCAGCAGCUACCCCGCGCCGGCUCAGUUCCCUGGCCAGCAUUUGCUUCUUCCCGGAUAGGAUCGCGAAGUGGUGUGGUGAGAUACGACAAGUUCUCCGGAUGUUCCUCGGCGAGCUUUAACAGGCAAACAUUUUCCCUUAUACUCCUGUCCCUGCAGGAGUCGCUCACCUAUUUUAUUUUGCCUUCUCCCUCAUGCUAUCCUUAAGUUGCGUUCUUGUCACGUGUCCCUUCCACUUGUUACCUCAAGCAGCCUAUAUUGACUCCACCAACCACCUACAGCUAUUGUUUGGUUAUCGGGUCUGCCUUGCGAGUCGUAGUGCAUGCAAGUGCUAUUUUAUCUCGUUACCGUUGUUGUUAACUUAUCGGGAUAUGUUGGGUUGUUGGGAGGUUAUCACAUGCUAUAUCAAUUGUUGGAGAUACACAUGCUUUACUUAAUUGUUAACAACUAAAAUUGUAAGCAGAGGCAUCUGUGAGCCCCUUUGCGAAAGCAUCGGAACUUUGACUUGCUAAUGUCCCCUAGGAUCCGAGUUCUUGUUAUCUGUUCCGAGAUUGAGCGCUCUACCCGUACGUGGGGGAGUGGGACCCCCAUCACCCACUACCUUUCCUCGAGUCUGUUUAUUGGGAGCCACAACAUUGGUUUUAUUUGCUCAUAUGCACGAUGCACGUUUUACUUCCUGUUGCCUUCGGGUGUUUAUAUUCUGUAUUGUACUCAUAACGCGGGACUCUUUAUCCUUGGCCGGUCGUUAGUGCCCGCCUUGGAAGCCGACGCAAACCUCUGAGUCCGUAUCGGAGUACGGCCGAACUUCGUCACGGGUAGCUUAGUUGGGUGGCUCCCAUUAAACUUUCUCUUGCAUUGGGAACGGUCUUGUUGUGAGACUCCACCUGUAAUAAGUGGGUUCGAGCAUGCGUAUGGUUACAUUUGGGCAACCCCUGCAGGGUGUACAUCUUAUCGAUAAGCCGUGUCCGCGGUUAUGGACGACUUGGAAUUCUAUAGCUUGAUCAUAGAACAACUUACACCGUUAUCUUGUUGCUAAUAAUCUGAUAAUAACUUGCGUAGUAAUAUAGCCUUACUACAACCGUUACCCAAUAAAACUUGUCCACCGUUGAGUGCCUUUUACAUUGCCUCUUCGCAAUUGUUGGAGGGGAUAUGUGUAAUCGGCUGGGUUAUGUUUGUGUAGUAUUUUAUAUGUUACCUUAUGCGCUCUCUCACCUUCUCUGAUUAGACGAAUGUUGUAGAGUGUCUCUAUAGGUUUUUAGUGCUUGCGCUGCCGCUUAACUCCACCAUAUUGCCUAUGAAGUUCCUCUUGCGUCCUCUAAGUCCCCUGCGUGCCUCAAGUACAAAGGACGACUGGUUGACGAAUGCUUAUACGUCUUGAAGUCUUGUUAAGUACGAACCCGUACUUAUUGCUGCUUCUACGGGAUAUAACCGGGUAGGUAUGAAGAUAUGUUCGAUGAAGACGACGUUAGCAAGGUUACCCUUCCGGCUUGGCCUAGGCAGGGUUAUGGACGCCACUGGUUAUCUUCAGGACUCUUAGUCCAAUUUGUAUCUUGUCCGUACUCGGACGUAUUCGAUCUUCUGUAUGAUUUGGAUCUUUGUAUUGUAUAUUUGUAUCUUGACUCGUUGGAGUCGUUGUUGUAAUAUAUGUAACUUGUGGGCUCUAUUGUAAUCCUGUUGUAAUGUUA